rnacentral:rRNA from 1 species
UACGUAGGGUGCAAGCGUUGUCCGGAUUUAUUGGGCGUAAAGAGCGUGUAGGCGGUUUGGUAGGUCCGUUGUGAAAACUCGAGGCUCAACCUCGAGACGCCGGCGGAAACCAUCAGGCUAGAGUCCGGAAGAGGAGAGUGGAAUUCCUGGUGUAGCGGUGAAAUGCGCAGAUAUCAGGAAGAACACCCGUGGCUAAGGCGGCUCUCUAGUACGGUACUGACGCUGAGACGCGAAAGCGUGGGGAGCGAACAGG